rnacentral:misc_RNA from 1 species
CAGAGUUGCAAAACUCCCACAAACCAUCGCGAAUCUUACCCGUACGGUUGCCUCGGCGCUGGCGGUCCGGAAGGCCCUCCUCGGGCCUCCCCGGAUCCUCGGGUCUCCCGCUCGCGGGAGGCUGCCCGCCGGAGUGCCGAAACCAAACUCUUGAUAUUUUAUGUCUCUCUGAGUAAACUUUUAAAUAAGUCA